rnacentral:rRNA from 1 species
UUAAGCGACUAAGCGUACACGGUGGAUGCCCUGGCAGUCAGAGGCGAUGAAGGACGUGCUAAUCUGCGAUAAGCGUCGGUAAGGUGAUAUGAACCGUUAUAACCGGCGAUUUCCGAAUGGGGAAACCCAGUGUGUUUCGACACACUAUCAUUAACUGAAUCCAUAGGUUAAUGAGGCGAACCGGGGGAACUGAAACAUCUAAGUACCCCGAGGAAAAGAAAUCAACCGAGAUUCCCCCAGUAGCGGCGAGCGAACGGGGAGCAGCCCAGAGCCUGAAUCAGUGUGUGUGUUAGUGGAAGCGUCUGGAAAGGCGCGCGAUACAGGGUGACAGCCCCGUACACAAAAAUACACAUACUGUGAGCUCGAUGAGUAGGGCGGGACACGUGGUAUCCUGUCUGAAUAUGGGGGGACCAUCCUCCAAGGCUAAAUACUCCUGACUGACCGAUAGUGAACCAGUACCGUGAGGGAAAGGCGAAAAGAACCCCGGCGAGGGGAGUGAAAAAGAACCUGAAACCGUGUACGUACAAGCAGUGGGAGCACGCUUAGGCGUGUGACUGCGUACCUUUUGUAUAAUGGGUCAGCGACUUAUAUUCUGUAGCAAGGUUAACCGAAUAGGGGAGCCGAAGGGAAACCGAGUCUUAACUGGGCGUUAAGUUGCAGGGUAUAGACCCGAAACCCGGUGAUCUAGCCAUGGGCAGGUUGAAGGUUGGGUAACACUAACUGGAGGACCGAACCGACUAAUGUUGAAAAAUUAGCGGAUGACUUGUGGCUGGGGGUGAAAGGCCAAUCAAACCGGGAGAUAGCUGGUUCUCCCCGAAAGCUAUUUAGGUAGCGCCUCGUGAAUUCAUCUCCGGGGGUAGAGCACUGUUUCGGCAAGGGGGUCAUCCCGACUUACCAACCCGAUGCAAACUGCGAAUACCGGAGAAUGUUAUCACGGGAGACACACGGCGGGUGCUAACGUCCGUCGUGAAGAGGGAAACAACCCAGACCGCCAGCUAAGGUCCCAAAGUCAUGGUUAAGUGGGAAACGAUGUGGGAAGGCCCAGACAGCCAGGAUGUUGGCUUAGAAGCAGCCAUCAUUUAAAGAAAGCGUAAUAGCUCACUGGUCGAGUCGGCCUGCGCGGAAGAUGUAACGGGGCUAAACCAUGCACCGAAGCUGCGGCAGCGACGCUUAUGCGUUGUUGGGUAGGGGAGCGUUCUGUAAGCCUGCGAAGGUGUGCUGUGAGGCAUGCUGGAGGUAUCAGAAGUGCGAAUGCUGACAUAAGUAACGAUAAAGCGGGUGAAAAGCCCGCUCGCCGGAAGACCAAGGGUUCCUGUCCAACGUUAAUCGGGGCAGGGUGAGUCGACCCCUAAGGCGAGGCCGAAAGGCGUAGUCGAUGGGAAACAGGUUAAUAUUCCUGUACUUGGUGUUACUGCGAAGGGGGGACGGAGAAGGCUAUGUUGGCCGGGCGACGGUUGUCCCGGUUUAAGCGUGUAGGCUGGUUUUCCAGGCAAAUCCGGAAAAUCAAGGCUGAGGCGUGAUGACGAGGCACUACGGUGCUGAAGCAACAAAUGCCCUGCUUCCAGGAAAAGCCUCUAAGCAUCAGGUAACAUCAAAUCGUACCCCAAACCGACACAGGUGGUCAGGUAGAGAAUACCAAGGCGCUUGAGAGAACUCGGGUGAAGGAACUAGGCAAAAUGGUGCCGUAACUUCGGGAGAAGGCACGCUGAUAUGUAGGUGAAGUCCCUCGCGGAUGGAGCUGAAAUCAGUCGAAGAUACCAGCUGGCUGCAACUGUUUAUUAAAAACACAGCACUGUGCAAACACGAAAGUGGACGUAUACGGUGUGACGCCUGCCCGGUGCCGGAAGGUUAAUUGAUGGGGUUAGCGCAAGCGAAGCUCUUGAUCGAAGCCCCGGUAAACGGCGGCCGUAACUAUAACGGUCCUAAGGUAGCGAAAUUCCUUGUCGGGUAAGUUCCGACCUGCACGAAUGGCGUAAUGAUGGCCAGGCUGUCUCCACCCGAGACUCAGUGAAAUUGAACUCGCUGUGAAGAUGCAGUGUACCCGCGGCAAGACGGAAAGACCCCGUGAACCUUUACUAUAGCUUGACACUGAACAUUGAGCCUUGAUGUGUAGGAUAGGUGGGAGGCUUUGAAGUGUGGACGCCAGUCUGCAUGGAGCCGACCUUGAAAUACCACCCUUUAAUGUUUGAUGUUCUAACGUUGACCCGUAAUCCGGGUUGCGGACAGUGUCUGGUGGGUAGUUUGACUGGGGCGGUCUCCUCCUAAAGAGUAACGGAGGAGCACGAAGGUUGGCUAAUCCUGGUCGGACAUCAGGAGGUUAGUGCAAUGGCAUAAGCCAGCUUGACUGCGAGCGUGACGGCGCGAGCAGGUGCGAAAGCAGGUCAUAGUGAUCCGGUGGUUCUGAAUGGAAGGGCCAUCGCUCAACGGAUAAAAGGUACUCCGGGGAUAACAGGCUGAUACCGCCCAAGAGUUCAUAUCGACGGCGGUGUUUGGCACCUCGAUGUCGGCUCAUCACAUCCUGGGGCUGAAGUAGGUCCCAAGGGUAUGGCUGUUCGCCAUUUAAAGUGGUACGCGAGCUGGGUUUAGAACGUCGUGAGACAGUUCGGUCCCUAUCUGCCGUGGGCGCUGGAGAACUGAGGGGGGCUGCUCCUAGUACGAGAGGACCGGAGUGGACGCAUCACUGGUGUUCGGGUUGUCAUGCCAAUGGCACUGCCCGGUAGCUAAAUGCGGAAGAGAUAAGUGCUGAAAGCAUCUAAGCACGAAACUUGCCCCGAGAUGAGUUCUCCCUGACUCCUUGAGAGUCCUGAAGGAACGUUGAAGACGACGACGUUGAUAGGCCGGGUGUGUAAGCGCAGCGAUGCGUUGAGCUAACCGGUACUAAUGAACCGUGAGGCUUAACCU